rnacentral:rRNA from 1 species
CAGUCAUACCAACGGGAAAUCAACCUUUUGAGCUCGGUCUCGUGGGUUUUGAAGAGUUUCAAAGCCUUCGGAUUCGCGGGAUUGGGAUCUCUUGGGUGUAUUUGCCCGUGUGGUAGGUUAACAUCAAUUUCGGACGUCAUAAAAUGACUGGAGGAAUGUAGCUUCGAUCUCGUAUUGAAGUGUUAUAGCCUUUGGUAGAUGUGAUUAUCGGGAUUGGAGGAUUGCAACGGAUACCCGUUCGGGGCUACCUGUCUGAUCUCUGAUCGUUGCUC